rnacentral:rRNA from 1 species
AGUGAACGCUGGCGGUAGGCCUAACACAUGCGAGUCGAACGGCAGCACAGUAAGAGCUUGCUCUUACGGGUGGCGAGUGGCGGACGGGUGAGGAAUACAUCGGAAUCUACUUUUUCGUGGGGGAUAACGUAGGGAAACUUACGCUAAUACCGCAUACGACCUACGGGUGAAAGCAGGGGAUCUUCGGACCUUGCGCGAUUGAAUGAGCCGAUGUUGGAUUAGCUAGUUGGCGGGGUAAAGGCCCACCAAGGCGACGAUCCGUAGCUGGUCUGAGAGGAUGAUCAGCCACACUGGAACUGAGACACGGUCCAGACUCCUACGGGAGGCAGCAGUGGGGAAUAUUGGACAAUGGGCGCAAGCCUGAUCCAGCCAUACCGCGUGGGUGAAGAAGGCCUUCGGGUUGUAAAGCCCUUUUGAUGGGAAAGAAAAGCAGCAGGUUAAUACCCCGCUGUUCUGACGGUACCCAAAGAAUAAGCACCGGCUAACUUCGUG